GGAUCCCACAAGGUCGUAUCAUAUAUUCUUAAGAACGCAAAAGUAAACAACUCAAAUCAGUUAUUUAUGAUCACAUCUACAACGUAUUUUAUAUCAAUGAGAGUAAUGGAUCAUAUUGUACAUCGUCAAAAGAGACUAGAUGCAUGGGCAGGCAGAUUCAGCGAAAAAGAAAGAGCUCGUCUGGAAGACGACGGAUGGUUCACACCUGUAUUGAUUGGAUGCGCUGCCACUCUUCUCGUUAUAACAAUUAUCGUACUCUUGCGACGUCUCUGGAAGAGGUGUCACAACAACUCUAGCCAGCAUUCCGUGCCAUUCAAACCUCUGAAAUCGAUUGAAGUACAGGGUUAUGUCGUGGUUCCUACGGUUAAAGUUUAGAUUGUUCGAGGUGUUAGACGGGCGUUUCAAUAAAGGAUCUUGGUGGUUACUGAAAUUAUCUUAAAUCUGUAUAAACGGCACAUUUUUUCCCCAACAAUUCUGUGUUCAUGUUUAAUUCUGGCUAAAGUUCAAUUCACCACACUGUGUACUAAAGUAAUGAGACUAUGCCACCACGAUACUAGUAAAUUGAUUAUCAUCUUUAUUGAAACGGCCUUGCAGCUAUUAACCUUUUAAACACGCUGUGACAUGAUGACUUCCAGGGUAGCAGAUUCAUCUGCAAACUAGAUGGUAUAGCUAUUUACAUAUCUGGGAACUAAGUGGAACAAUAAAACUGAUUAAGAAUUAAGCUAAUACUUGCGAUAGCAAAAUCGAAUGACGUUUACGUUCGUAUAUCGUUUUCUUUACGGCGCGAGAGAUGAAUGUGUUAUAAUACAUCUAUAUCGCAAUAUCAAAUAUUCUUGUUUGCACAUAAACUUAUAAACCAAAGAAAGCCCCGUAAUAGCAUUUCUGCUUAAGUGUAAAUAGCAAGCUUGAUUGUACAUGUAUGCUGAAUAGUAACAGAGCUAUCAUGUGUAUUUAUUUUGUAAAUACAACGCUGUGUAAACCUAUAGAAAAUCAAACAUUUGAUUAAAAUACAUGACAUAUAUACAAUUUGUUUUACGUUUAUAUCAAAUUAAUGUACAUACUAUGUUCUAUUGGUUGGUUUGAUGAAUUGUAUUUUUAUUGUUCCUCUUUGUUUUUUAAUUGGGAUCUUAUUUAUGAAGCGUUUUGUGUGUAUUGCACGUGCAAAUAUAAUGUUUUCGGAGAACAGAUUGUUUCGAAGCUUAGACGUUUUGUAGAUGGAUAGCAGUGUGUAUUACGCUGAAAAAUUUGCGAUAGUAUUACUACUAAGAGUUGUUCAUAGUCCAUGUGUACAUUAUAAUACAACACAAAGAUUCACAAACGUGUCAGUUUUAACACUAGUAUUAUUCAGUUUGAACACAUUAAAUUUUAGAGAUUUUAGUUAAGAAAUUUAAUGACAUGAUUUUUGUUCUAUUCCUUGUAUGAUCGAUAAAGCUUCAAAAAUAAAUGUAAAAACUGUGACUGAAAAGUAAGAUAUACAUAAUUAAAUUAACGUAAAGUUGUUGGAAUUUAAAUAUUUCCUUUAUUGCAUAUCGACAAUAUCAAUAUUGACUAAGACUUGAUUUAGUUAUGAAGUGCAUUCAAAAUGUGUAAGGUGUUUGCAUGUCUAACCAAUCAAUAGAAUACAAAAAUUGAAAUGUAAUCGAGCUAGUUUGACUGACAACUUAUGGCGUGCGAAGUGAAGCAGCAGGAAUAUAAUUAAUAAUCGAUUGAAUUUAAAUGUUUCUUAAACAGUGUUUGUGUUGUAAUACUUUUCGCUUUUAUAGUAUGAUACUGAACUUUUUAUGUUAUGUUACAUGCAUGUAUAUGCCGAUGUUGCCAAUAAAUUUUGAACUUGA